rnacentral:rRNA from 1 species
UAGUCCACGCCGUAAACGAUGUCAACUAGCCGUCGGGCUCAUUAUAAGGGUUUGGUGGCGCAGCUAACGCGAUAAGUUGACCGCCUGGGGAGUACGCCGGCAACGGUAAAACUCAAAGGAAUUGACGGGGGGCCCGCACAAGCGGUGGAGCAUGUGGUUUAAUUCGAUGCAACGCGAAGAACCUUACCUACCCUUGACAUCCUCAGAACUUGUUAGAGAUAACUUGGUGCCUUCGGGAAUUGAGUGACAGGUGCUGCAUGGCUGUCGUCAGCUCGUGUCGUGAGAUGUUGGGUUAAGUCCCGCAACGAGCGCAACCCUUGUCCCUAGUUGCCAGCACAUAAUGGUGGGAACUCUAGGGAGACUGCCGGUGACAAACCGGAGGAAGGUGGGGAGUGACGUCAAGUCAUCAUGGCCCUUAUGGGUAGGGCUACACACGCGCUACAAUGGUCGGUACAGAGGGUUGCCAACCCGCGAGGGGGAGCGUAAUCUGCAAAGACAUGCUAAUCUCAUAAACACGGCCU